rnacentral:rRNA from 1 species
AUUGAACGCUGGCGGCAGGCUUAACACAUGCAAGUCGAGCGGAGCGAGGGUGCUUGCACCUUAGCUUAGCGGCGGACGGGUGAGUAAUGCUUAGGAAUCUGCCUAUUAGUGGGGGACAACAUUCCGAAAGGAAUGCUAAUACCGCAUACGCCCUACGGGGGAAAGCAGGGGAUCUUCGGACCUUGCGCUAAUAGAUGAGCCUAAGUCGGAUUAGCUAGUUGGUGGGGUAAAGGCCUACCAAGGCGACGAUCUGUAGCGGGUCUGAGAGGAUGAUCCGCCACACUGGGACUGAGACACGGCACAGACUCCUACGGGAGGCAGCAGUGGGGAAUAUUGGACAAUGGGCGGAAGCCUGAUCUAGCCAUGCCGCGUGUGUGAAGAAGGCCUUUUGGUUGUAAAGCACUUUAAGCGAGGAGGAGGAGCUCUAGGUUAAUACCCUAGAUGCUUGGACGUUACUCGCAGAAUAAGCACCGGCUAACUCUGUGCCAGCCGCCGCAGUAACAC